UACGUAGGGGCUAGCGUUGUCCGGAAUCAUUGGGCGUAAAGAGCGUGUAGGCGGCCCGGUAAGUCCGCUGUGAAAGUCGGGGGCUCAACCCUCGAAUGCCGGUGGAUACUGUCGGGCUAGAGUGCGGAAGAGGCGAGUGGAAUUCCGUGGUGUGAGCGGUGAAAUGCGUAGAGAUCAGGAAGAACAUCGGUGGCGAAGGCGCUCUGCUGGACCAUAACUGACACUCAGGGACGAAAGCUAGGGGAGCGAAUGGG
rnacentral:rRNA from 1 species